UGCUCCCAGCCCCACACAUUUGUUCUCAGCCCCACACACUUGAGCUCAGCCCCACAGAUCUGUGCUCAGCCCCCCCAUUUUUGGCUCAGCCCCACACAUUUGCUUCCAGCCCCACACAUUUGAGCUCAGCCCCACAGAUUUGGUCCCAGCCCCACAGAUUUGAGCUCAGCCCCACAGAUUUGGUCCCAGCCCCACACAUUUGGUCCCAGCCCCACAGUUUUGGCUCAGCCCCACACAUUUGCUCCCAGCCCCACACAUUUGCUCCCAGCCCCCCAGAUUUGGUCCCAGCCCCACAUUUUUGGCUCAGCCCCACACAUUUGCUCCCAGCCCCACACAUUUGCUCCCAGCCCCACACAUUUCUCUCACCUCAUCUCCUCCCUCCGCCGCCGCUUUUGCUGCACCGCCUCCUCCUGCCUUUUCCUCCUCUCCGCCUUCAGCCUCAGUUUCUCCUCCCUCCUCUCCAGCAGCUCCCGAAGCUCCGCCUCCGAUUUCUGCACUGUGAGACACAGUGGGGCUUUUUACGCCCCUUCCAGGACCUGCCCAACCCGCCCUGCUGGGCUCUGCUCCUUAACGGUCCCUCCAAGAAGUUCCUGAGUACUUCUGUGAGCUUCCAGGACCUUUCUGACCCAACCCAACCAUUCUGUGACCUUCCAGGACCUUUCUAACCCACCCCAACCACUCGCUGGUUCGUUGACCUUCCAGGACCUGCCCAACCCACCCUGCUGGGCUCUGCUCCUUAACGGCCCCUCCAAGAAGUUCCCGAGUGCUUCUGUGAGCUUCCAGGACCUUUCUGACCCAACCCAACUACUCUGUGACCUUCCAGGACCCUUCCAACCCAACUCAACCCAACCCAACCCCCUUAUGGUUCUUUAACCUUCCAGGACCUGCCCAACCCGGUCCAACCACUCCACACAUCUAUGACCUUCAAGGACCCUUUCAACCCAACAAUUCUGCGGUUCUUUAACCUUCCAGGACCCAUCCAACUCAAUCCAACUACUCCACAACUCUAUGAUCUUCAAGGACCUUUCCAUCCCCACCAUCUUCUGCUUCUGUGACCUUCCAGGACCCUUUCAACCCAACCCAACCACUCGCUGGUUCGUUGACCUUCCAGGACCUGCCCAACCCGCCCUGCUGGGCUCUGCUCCUUAACGGCCCAUCCAAGAAGUUCCCGAAUGCUCCUGUGAGCUUCCAGGACCUUUCUGACCCAACCCAACCAUCCUGUGACCUUCCAGACCUUUCUAACCCAAGUCAUCCCAACCCAACCACUCCCCACAUCUAUGACCUUCAAGGACCCUUUCAGCCCCCAAAUUCUGUAGUUCUUUAGCCUUCCAGGACCUUUCCAGGACCCUCCCAAUCCAAUGCAAGCAUUCCGUGGUUCUUUAACCUUCCAGGACCCAUCCAACCCACCCCAACCACUCGCUGG
rnacentral:lncRNA from 1 species